rnacentral:rRNA from 1 species
AGUGAACGCUGGCGGUAGGCCUAACACAUGCAAGUCGAACGGCAGCACAGUAAGAGCUUGCUCUUACGGGUGGCGAGUGGCGGACGGGUGAGGAAUACAUCGGAAUCUACUUUUUCGUGGGGGAUAACGUAGGGAAACUUACGCUAAUACCGCAUACGACCUACGGGUGAAAGCAGGGGAUCUUCGGACCUUGCGCGAUUGAAUUAGCCGAUGUCGGAUUAGCUAGUUGGCGGGGUAAAGGCCCACCAAGGCGACGAUCCGUAGCUGGUCUGAGAGGAUGAUCAGCCAAACUGGAACUGAGACACGGACCAGACUCCUACGAGAGGCCGCAGUGGGGAAUAUUGGACAAUGGGCGCAAGCCUGAACCAGCCAUACCGCGUGGGUGAAGAAGGCCUUCGGGUUGUAAAGCCCUUUUGUUGGGAAAGAAAAGCAGCAGGUUAAUACCCCGCUGUUCUGACGGUACCCAAAGAAUAAGCAGCGGCUAACUACGU